UGCAAGUCGAACGGUGAAGCCCAGCUUGCUGGGUGGAUCAGUGGCGAACGGGUGAGUAACACGUGAGCAACCUGCCCUCCACUUCGGGAUAAGCCUUGGAAACGGGGUCUAAUACCGGAUAUGAGCACAUGAUGCAUGUCGUGUGUUGGAAAGUUUUUCGGUGGGGGAUGGGCUCGCGGCCUAUCAGCUUGUUGGUGGGGUGAUGGCCUACCAAGGCGUCGACGGGUAGCCGGCCUGAGAGGGCGACCGGCCACACUGGGACUGAGACACGGCCCAGACUCCUACGGGAGGCAGCAGUGGGGAAUAUUGCACAAUGGGCGAAAGCCUGAUGCAGCGACGCCGCGUGAGGGAUGACGGCCUUCGGGUUGUAAACCUCUUUCAGCAGGGAAGAAGGCCUUCGGGUGGACGGUACCUGCAGAAGAAGCGCCGGCUAACUACGUGCCAGCAGCCGCGGUAAUACGUAGGGCGCAAGCGUUGUCCGGAAUUAUUGGGCGUAAAGAGCUCGUAGGCGGUUUGUCGCGUCUGGUGUGAAAACCUCAGGCUCAACCUGGGGCGUGCAUCGGGUACGGGCAGACUAGAGUGCGGUAGGGGAGACUGGAAUUCCUGGUGUAGCGGUGGAAUGCGCAGAUAUCAGGAGGAACACCGAUGGCGAAGGCAGGUCUCUGGGCCGCAACUGACGCUGAGGAGCGAAAGCAUGGGGAGCGAACAGGAUUAGAUACCCUGGUAGUCCAUGCCGUAAACGUUGGGCACUAGGUGUGGGGCUCAUUCCACGAGUUCCGUGCCGCAGCUAACGCAUUAAGUGCCCCGCCUGGGGAGUACGGCCGCAAGGCUAAAACUCAAAGGAAUUGACGGGGGCCCGCACAAGCGGCGGA
rnacentral:rRNA from 1 species